GUACAAAGUCUGUGUCUGGAGCCCAACCUACCUCUUCUAAUCCUUAAGCCUUAUUCUUUGCAUGUUUUCACCACCCAUGAUGAAAUACCCUAAGAAAAUAACCACCUUCAGCGGAAGGGAAACCCCGCUCUUUAUUCUUUACAGAAAUAUUGGCAGUCAUAGGUACCUCAUUCUCCUGAGAGGACUCGGAGUCCUCUGAAAGGGACUUGGAAUUUGACACCUCAGAUGUGCCCAAGCACAGCUUUGUGGGUUUUACUUCAAGCGGCCAGUGAGGUAAGGACAGCUCAAACAUUUUUCUGGCUCCAGCCACGGUAGGACACCUUCAUCCACACAGCUGGCUGGGCACCUACCCAGCGAAGUUUCCUGUGAGCACAGCAUGACUUGGUCCAGUUCAUGCACAGCUGCAGGUCUGGUUCCCAUGUCCCAAGUGUGACCCAGAACUUCUCCACUCCCACAACCACUGGUCCAGCUUUAACCCUCUUUGUACACUCCCUCCUCCUCUUCCUUUCUCUCCUGGAGAUUGCCAUUCUCUUUAUUAUUUCCUUUCUUCUUGAGUACCCCCCUCUCCUCUCGGUUUAUGCAGACAUCUUAGAAACCCUCAAGUUGCUACAAGUCAAAAUCUUAAAUGACAAGCUGUCAUGUGCACAGUGCCAGACAGUGGCAGAUAGCACCGUCACCUAGCUGCAGACACUGAUGAGGAGCUCUUGCCUCUAGGCUGGGGGAAAGGAGAGAAAGGACCCCAGGUCUCAGCCCAGGAGUUCUCUUUUGGUGGGUGAUGACAUUUGGAACCAAGUGGGACCUGGGAUAUGAGUGCCUCAAGUUUCUAAACAGUGUGAUCGAGCCCAUAUCUUGUCCCCUGAGCACACCUCAAGAAAUGUGACCUAGGCAGAUGGAAGACACAGUAAUGGAGUGAAGGGGGGUGAGCCAAGGGGCGAAGAACAGAGAUGGACAAUGGGAGGGAUUUGGGCUUGGUCUCAGCAUCUACCUGGUCCUCAGACUGUGUCCUACACCUCCUCCUGGGAUACCAUAGGCAGUCACCUUUGUUAUUGUGACUCAACUAAUUGUCCCAGUCAAUUUUCUAGCCUGUUUAAAUCCACUCACCUGCCUGCUAGCCCAGCCCUACCCUCAAUGUUCAUGACAUCUACCUGUCUAUCCAGCCACAUACUUUUGCACUUACUUUCCUGACACUGGGCUAAUCUGCUGUCUUAUUUUCCUGGUUAACUACUACCUGGGAGGUACCCUUCUUCCAAUUUACCUGCCUUCCCUUGUUACAGUUGUCUUGUGACCUAGACCUCUGACCUCCUAGGGACUUUUCCAAGUUGCUUCCACAACUCCGCCCACCUUCCUGAUGGUUCACUCGCAGCUGCAGGGGACACUCUGGGCUCUGCAACCUCCAGGCCCCAACACACAAGCCAGAGACAUUGCAGGCUGAGACCUGUCCCUGCUUGUCUGCUUGUCCUCUUGCACACUCGAGGAAGCUCUUGCCCUCCAGCACCAAGAAGGUGGAUGUUGGAUGGGUGGGGGUGGCGGUGGAGUUGCGUGAGCUCCUGGCCUCUUGAGAGAAGAGAAUCACUUACUGACCAAAGCUGAUUCUCACAAGCCAGGGGACUUGUCUUGGGGAUGAGCCUGGGAACAGUUGGUCCUUCUCUUUCCAGGAGCCUCAGGGAGAGAGAACUGGCAGACAUGUGUACCUUGGUCCGAGCAGCUCUGGCAUCCCACGGCCCAGGAAUGAUAAUCGAUAUGCUGUUAUAUGAAUCAGAGGACAACAGACUGCCCCAAGGAUCCUCCUGCUGGCAGUGGGGGAACUCGGCCCCUGCCCAGGUGAGUGCUCCCUGGCCCAGAGGGGAGUCGUGGAGACCUUGCAGCCAGAGUCCCUCCUCAGCUCCAGCACCAGUUCCAGCCAGCCGUCUCCAAUUUCCCAGCAUGUGAUGGUCUCACCGUGGAGCCAGGCUUUGACGCUGCUCUAGGAAGGCUGUGAUGUUCUCCCUCUGGACCAAGAGAAUCCGAGGGCCAGCACGACACCGACACGCUGGUGUGGCCGUGGAAGGGACUCCACCCUGGCACCCAGGUUCCAGGUCUGCGGAGCUCCCCAGGCCCCGCUCAACAGUGCUCAUCCAAGGCCAGGCCGAGGAGGCCAGG